GCCUCUAAUCAUUCGCUUUACCUCAUAAAACUGAAAAACGUUACUGCUAUCCUGAGGGAAACUUCGGCAGGAACCAGCUACUAGAUAGUUCGAUUAGUCUUUCGCCCCUAUGCCCAAAUUUGACGAUCGAUUUGCACGUCAGAACCGCUGCGAGCCUCCACCAGAGUUUCCUC
rnacentral:rRNA from 1 species